rnacentral:tRNA from 1 species
CCUGAUAGCUCAGAGGUUAAAACGUCUGCCUGUAAUGCAGGAGGCCAGGGUUCGAUCCCUGGGUCAGGA